GCAGAGAUGGUAAGGAAUUGACCGCCUGGGAGAGGCAGGAGACAGGCUCUGAAAGACAGAGGAGUAAGCAGGCCUGAUGGGAACACCUCGGUCCCAAAUCUCAGCCCUGGGAAGUGUCUCUUUUAGCUACCCUUUCUCAUUUCAUAUUCUCUUUUUCAUUUGCUGUCCACUUUCCUCCAUCUCAUCUUUUCUCUCCUGUCUUCCCAGAGCAGACACUCAUAAGCCUUAAAGGAACACAAAGUCCCCUCCACCCCCAGGAGUAGUCCCCAUGUCACAGAUGGAGAAAUUGAGGUGAAGGCUCCACUGUGUGGGAGUGAAGCAGUGGCGACGGGCAGCAGCGCUUCGUGAUCCUGAUUUCUUCCACCCCAGGCAAGAAGUGCCCACCAUGGGUACCACCACCACCCCUCCCCCGAGGACUAAAUGAGCAGCAGGGAGUGACAAACAGUCAGGUGCACCUAAGUUCCAGCCAAGCUCUACCAUCGACACUCUAUGACUUGGGGACCCCAGGGAAGAUGAUUCAAGCAAUGCUGAGGAGGCUGCACUCUGCCCACCCACUCCAGCCCCAUCAUCCAAGGGAAAUGCCAAAGCUACCCCACAGAGUAGAAGGUUGCCUCCCCGCCAUUCCUG
rnacentral:lncRNA from 10 species